AUACAAAUGACGAGUCUUAAAUAGGACGAAAUAUGCAUCCUGGAU
rfam:Trichobilharzia regenti genome assembly, scaffold: TRE_scaffold0000702